CACGUGACUAAUCUACCCUCGAGUGGGGAAUAACUGAGAGAAAUCUUAGCUAAUACCGCAUAACACUUACGAGUCAAAGCAGCAAUGCGCUUGGGGAGGAGGUCGCGGUCGAUUAGCUAGUUGGUGAGGUAAUGGCUCACCAAGGCGAUGAUCGAUAUCCGGCCUGAGAGGGCGCACGGACACACUGGAACUGAAACACGGUCCAGACUCCUACGGGAGGCAGCAGUGGGGAAUUUUGCGCAAUGGGGGAAACCCUGACGCAGCAACGCCGCGUGGAGGAUGAAGUAUCUUGGUACGUAAACUCCUUUCGAUGGGGAAGAUAAUGACGGU
rnacentral:rRNA from 1 species